AGAAAAGGAUGGGAACUGAAAUGACUAGAGAAAUGUGAAAAAGAAGGGAGAAAACUAGAACUCAGUGCAGUAGUUUCUCAAAAUUUGGCCAACCUACAAAUUUUUCCUUUUUCUCUGGUUCUCUUCCCCAGAAAUUCUUUUCAAGUCUCUUUUUCAAUUUCUUUUUCUGAUCUUUUUCUCAUUUUCAGACUUGUUCAUUCUUUUCAGCACAACUAAAUUUUUCUCACAUCAUUUUUCUUUUCUUUUCACCUCUGGCCUCAUUAGUUUUCAUGCAUUCACCAAGUUCUAGACCUCUCCCUACAUCUCACAAGUCUCUAAGGAAUGAUUGGUUGGGGGGAAAUGGCUUGAAAUGGAUGGAAACAAGAAAAGAAAAUAGGCUAAGAUUCAAAAUAAGGUGCAAUGGUAAGAAAAUAAAAUGGGUAAGCUAAAAUGGAAAAGCGAAGGAUGCCUAGAUCAUAUUCAAAGUUACCAAGAGCAAAAACAUCAAUAAAGAUUCAAUGCAAAAUCAGAAUGAUAAUUAAACAUGUAUGUAUUACACAAGAAAGACAAAAACUGGCCCAAAAUCUCUCAAGGGUUUAAGAAUUUGUUAAAACUGACUUGCUACUCAUCCUAUGCAAAAAUUACUGAAUUGAAAUGAACUAGAGACUGAAAAAUCAAUGCUAGAACUACCUCUGCCUAAAUCUAAAGCUAAGUCUACUUUUGACAACUCUAAUCUAAGGAAAUGAUGCUAAAACUUGAAUGAAUUCAGAAAAGAAUGAAGAUAAGCAUAAAACACAACCUAAAAGCACCUAAAAGAGCCCAACAGAAUUACCUAGACUAUAUACAACAUAGACAACAAAAACAAAACAGUGCAAUUAGAAUUUUCUCAUAGUAAACAACUCCUAAUUAAAGCUUAUAAGAAGGAAAGAAACAAUAAAAGGAAAAAGAAACAAUCAAGUACCAUUUAACAAACAAUCGCAUUAGAAUUUUCUCAUGGUAAACAAUAAGAUUUCAGAACAAAAUCAAGCAACUAUACCACAACGCAACAAUUUCAACAAGCUCAAAUACACAAAUUCAACAACUCAAUCUAUUUAGACAGGUCGUGGCAACCAAAAGUGAUUGCAAUUUCU
rnacentral:lncRNA from 1 species